GAGUCGCUCCGCACGGGCCUCCAUUGGGUGGCCGAGGCAAGGAGGGGAAAAUGGCGGAGUGAGGGGAAGAAGUGGAGCAAGAGCCGCGGGCUGCGGCCCGAUGGCCUGAGCUGAGGUCCAUACAUAAACCAUCUUUAUUACCAGUUGGAACAAGAAAAUUGCUUUACUAGAAAACUGAAGACAUUAUACAUGACGAUUUGAGCAGUCAUGAAGCAAACAGGAAUAUAGUCUUGUGGUUUGAGUCAAGCUCA